rnacentral:rRNA from 1 species
UACGUAGGGGGCUAGCGUUGUCCGGAAUCAUUGGGCGUAAAGCGCGCGUAGGCGGCCCGGUAAGUCCGUUGUGAAAGUCAAAGGCUCAACCUUUGAACGCCGAUGGAUACUGCCGAGCUAGAGUGCGGAAGGGGCAACCGGAAUUCCCAGUGUAGCGGUGAAAUGCGUAGAUAUUGGGAAGAACACCUGAGGCGAAGGCGGGUUGCUGGGCCGACACUGACGCUGAGGCGCGAAAGCCAGGGGAGCAAAGCGGG